GACGGGACCGCGACAAGCGGUGAUGAGUGUGGAUUAAUUCGAUGCAACGCGAAAACCUUACUACCCUUGACAUGUCUGGAACCUUGCUGAGAGGCGAGGGUGCUUCGGAGCCAGAACACAGGUGCUGCAUGGCUGUCGUCAGCUCGUGUCGUGAGAUGUUGGGUUAAGUCCCGCAACGAGCGCAACCCUUGUCAUUAGUUGCCAUCAUUUAGUUGGGCACUCUAAUGAGACUGCCGGUGACAAACCGGAGGAAGGUGGGGAUGACGUCAAGUCCUCAUGGCCCUUAUGGGUAGGGCUUCACACGUCAUACAAUGGUCGGUACAGAGGGUUGCCAAGCCGCGAGGUGGAGCCAAUCCCUUAAAGCCGAUCGUAGUCCGGAUCGUAGUCUGCAACUCGACUACGUGAAGUCGGAAUCGCUAGUAAUCGCAGAUCAGCAUGCUGCGGUGAGUACGUUCCCGGGUCUU
rnacentral:rRNA from 1 species